rnacentral:rRNA from 1 species
AGGACGAACGCUGGCGGCGUGCCUAACACAUGCAAGUCGAACGGACAGGGGAGCUUGCUCCCCAAGUUAGUGGCGGACGGGUGAGUAACACGUGAGCAACCUGCCCUUCGGAGGGGGACAACAGCGGGAAACUGCUGCUAAUACCGCAUAACGUAUCCUGGGGGCAUCUCCGGGAUACCAAAGAUUUUAUCGCCGAAGGAUGGGCUCGCGUCUGAUUAGAUAGUUGGCGGGGCAACGGCCCACCAAGUCUACGAUCAGUAGCCGGACUGAGAGGUUGAACGGCCACAUUGGGACUGAGAUACGGCCCAGACUCCUACGGGAGGCAGCAGUGGGGAAUAUUGGGCAAUGGGGGCCAACCCUGACCCAGCAACGCCGCGUGGAGGAAGAAGGCUUUCGGGUUGUAAACUCCUUUGACGAGGGACGAUAGUGACGGUACCUCGAAAACAAGCCACGGCUAACUACGUGCCAGCAGCAGC